AGAAGCCAAACAUUGCAUCUUUUCAGACAAUUUUCCUAACAGUACAGCUUCGUUUUCUUCUAACAACUGAGACAGGGAUUCUGAAAAUGUUUGGAAGGGUACGAGGCAGUCUGCACAAGGAGCUCCCCACUACUGCCCUCACCUACAUUUUCAUGGCUGCAGAUAACAAGGUGCUCUCAUGAGAAAUGCCAGAGGGGUGCUGGAAUACUAGAGGAAACAGCAAUGAAGAGACAGAAACUGGAUAUACAAUGGACUAGUCAAGAAUAAGGGCCAGAUGCCCUAAAUUGGUACUGCUCCGUUGCCCUCCGUACUGAUUUACAGAAGACAAGGAUCUGGCUGAAACCCUUCAAAAGCCCUGACUGCUUCGCUUUGCUGUUUCGUGGACUGGUCACCAAACAUUGCUGGAGAGAAGAAGCUACACACAGCUACCCUAGACCCCAGACUGUGGUUGCCCAGAGAAGCCUGACGACCUUCUGGCUGGUACUGAUGGUGGAGCUGAGGUGACUGCACUGAUUUCCCUCUAUCCAUCAAAAGAUUGCCUUGUCCCGAGGAUGAAGGUUUUUGGAUCAGCCUGGACUUUGCUCCCAACUGCCUUUCCUGGUCCUUCUGUUAUGGGGAC
rnacentral:lncRNA from 1 species